rnacentral:rRNA from 1 species
UGGGGAAUAUUGGACAAUGGGCGAAAGCCUGAUCCAGCCAUGCCGCGUGUGUGAAGAAGGUCUUCGGAUUGUAAAGCACUUUAAGUUGGGAGGAAGGGCAUUAACCUAAUACGUUAGUGUUUUGACGUUACCGACAGAAUAAGCACCGGCUAACUCUGUGCCAGCAGCCGCGGUAAUACACAGGGUGCAAGCGUUAAUCGGAAUUACUGGGCGUAAAGCGCGCGUAGGUGGUUUGUUAAGUUGGAUGUGAAAUCCCCGGGCUCAACCUGGGAACUGCAUUCAAAACUGACUGACUAGAGUAUGGUAGAGGGUGGUGGAAUUUCCUGUGUAGCGGUGAAAUGCGUAGAUAUAGGAAGGAACACCAGUGGCGAAGGCGACCACCUGGACUAAUACUGACACUGAGGUGCGAAAGCGUGGGUAGCAAACA